CCUACGGGUGGCAGCAGUCGAGAAUCAUUCACAAUGGGGGAAACCCUGAUGGUGCGACGCCGCGUGGGGGAAUGAAGGUCUUCGGUUUGUAAACCCCUGUCAUGUGGGAGCAAAUUAAAAAGAUAGUCCCACAAGAGGAAUAGACGGCUAACUCUGUUCCAGCAGCCGCGGUAUUACAGAGGUCUCAAGCGUUGUUCGGAAUCACUGGUCGAAAGGCGUUCGUAGGCUGUUUCGUAAGUCGUGGGUGAAAGGCGGGGGUGCAACACGCGGACGGCACAUAAUACUGCGAGACUAGGGUAAUGGAGGGGGAACCGGAAUGCUGGGUGUAGGAGGGAAAGGCGUAGAUAUCGAGAGGAACACUCGUGGCGAGGGCGGGUUCCUGGACAUAAACGGACGCGGAGGAACGAAGGCUAGGGGAGAGAAAGGGAUAAGAUACCCGGGUAGU
rnacentral:rRNA from 1 species